AGGCCUCGCAUCCUCACAUCAGACACCGAUUCUGUGUUCAGAACCCUAGAACAUCCACUUGCUCUUAACAAUGAGGUUCGUGAGUGAGAUUGCCCUUCUCCUGACUUUGGGUAUUGCGGGUGAUGCUAAAAGUACACAGCCAAGUUCAAUGGAAAGUACUGAAGAAGAACCUGUACACUUGCCUUGUAGCCACUCCACGAUCAGUGGGAACGAGUACAUCUAUUGGUACCGACAGGUCCCCCUGCGGGGUCCAGAAUACGUCAUUCACGGUCUACAACAAAACACAAGCAAUAGAAUGGCCUUUCUGGCUAUUCCCUCUGACAGAAAGUCAAGUACCUUGAUCCUGCCUCGUGUCAGCCUGAGCGAUGCUGCUGUGUAUUACUGUAUCGUGAGAGCAGCACAGUGUGACAGACAGGGCUGCCCCCCGUACAAUAUCUGCCUGGAGGGGGAGGGGAAGCAGUGGCAUCCUCUCAAGAGGGCUCUGCACAGGAAUGAGAAGAUGCUGUACAGGAGAAAGAGAAGACUGAGGAACCAGCAGGGGUGGGAAAGGAAUGCUGAGGCUGGGCAAGAGCGGCUAACAUUAGUAGAUAACGGACAUGUCUGCAGGGCAGCGGACAGCACAACUUCCAGCUCUGCAGUGAGAAGGGAAUGA